AUAAAGAACAGAAAGUUGCUGUUGCAGCAGAAGUCGGAGAAGGAAAACACCAUGUAAAGAUGUAUAAAGCAGGUCUUGUGCGGUUACAGAGGACAUGACAGCAUCAAGAGUUUGAGAAUCAUGAUGAUGAUCAGUUGCAAUGUGAACUACCAAAUAACCAUGAAGUACAAGCAGAUCCAAUUAAUGUGGAACAAAUAAAGGAGAAUCAUGAUGAUGAUGAGCUGCUAUGUGAACUACCAAAUAACCAUGAAGUACAACCAGAUUCCAAGCAUAUGGAACAAAUAGAGGGUUGUACUGAAUUUUUUACAUGUACUGAAUUGGAGUCAACUCCAAU